rfam:Schistosoma mansoni strain Puerto Rico chromosome W, complete genome
AUCCAGCUGACGAGUUCCGGAUAGGACGAAACGCGCAUCCUGGAU